rnacentral:lncRNA from 1 species
CUGGCAGGGUGGGCGGCGAUCCCACCGGGAUGACAAAGGGCCCGGUCACUCCGUCUCCAGUCCCUCCCAGUCUUGGCCUCUGAGAGCAGCCUUGCUGUGCGCUCCUGGGCACUUCCACCCUCCCAGGGCCCAGACUGUGGCCCUGCACCCCCCCCUACUCCUUGCCCGGCCCACUGUGUGUUCCAGCGCCCCUGAGCGUGUCUGGGACGGUUCUCUGUAAAGCAUAGAUCCCAAAAUCCCAGCACCACGCGCGCGCGCGCGCACACACACACACACACACACACACACACACGCCUAGUAUCCAGGAAAACGUGGGCAGAGCUGGGGCCAGCACCCGGGAAGGGAACGUGGUGUUCGCCAGAGGUAUCUGUCCACACUUCUGGGGGCGGGGACAGUAGAAAAGUAACAAAAUCUUCCCCGUGUCACUCGACAGGUGCGGCCCCUUGAGAGGGAAUCCUGCUCAAGCACACCCGUGUUCCAGGACCACCUGUGGUUGGGACCAUCAGCUGUGCCUGCCUGCCUCUCACCUGGGGAGGUCAGUCAAGAUCUGAGGUGGGGCCUGAGAAUGGGUGCCUCUAACAAGCUCCUGGCUGGUGCUGCUGCUGGUCUGAGACCCCUCCCUCUGCCGCGCUGUGAGAAGCAGGGCCCUGGAGGCCUGAGACUCCUAGAAGGAGCAACCCUGGGACCCCAGCACCUGAGCGCAUCCUGGCCAUGGGACCAGAUGGAGUAGCCUUUGGCUUUCGUUUUCCGUGUUCACCUCCUUGACCCCCUUUACCUCCUGGGUCGUCGGGCUUUGCCUUGUGGACUGCUUCAAGCUUUCUGGAUAAUCAUGAGAUGAGCCCUGAGUCACAUCUUGCUUCUAUUUUUCCCCCCACUUUGUCACUUGUCCCUUGACUUUGUGGUUUGGGGCUUGUGUUUGGUCAGGCAGACAAUUUUAGUUUUUGUGUCAUCGGACUUUCCAGGCUUUUCCUUUUUCUUUUCUUUCUUUUUUUUUAAGAGUGAUUUGAGAGAGCGGGCAUGUACACGCACAUGGGGGAAGGGGCGGGGGAAGAGGGAGAGAGAGAAUCCUCCAGCAGACUCCCCGCUGAGCACGGAGCCCCACACGGGGCUCUAUCCCA